rnacentral:rRNA from 1 species
GACGAACGCUGGCGGCGUGCUUAACACAUGCAAGUCGAACGGUAAGGCCCUUCGGGGUACACGAGUGGCGAACGGGUGAGUAACACGUGGGUGAUCUGCCCUGCACUUCGGGAUAAGCCUGGGAAACUGGGUCUAAUACCGGAUAGGACCACUGCCUGCAUGGGUGGUGGUGGAAAGCUUUUGCGGUAUGAGAUCGGCCUUGCUCCUAUCAGCUUGUUGGUGAGGUAAGGGCUUACCAAGGCUACGACGGGUAGCUGGUCUGAGAGGAUGAUCAGCCACAAUGGGAAUGAGAAGCGGCCCAUACACCUACGGGUGGCAGCAGUUGGGAAUAUUGCGCAAUGGACGACGGUCUGACGCAGCGACGCCGCGUGAAGGAUGAAGGUUUUCGGAUCGUAAACUUCUUUUAUAGGGGACGAUUAUGACGGUACCCUAUGAAUAAGGGCCUGCUAACUACGUGCCAGCAGCCGCCGUAA